GUGGGGAAUCUUGCGCAAUGGGCGAAAGCCUGACGCAGCCAUGCCGCGUGAAUGAUGAAGAUCUUAGGAUUGUAAAAUUCUUUCACCGGGGACGAUAAUGACGGUACCCGGAGAAGAAGCUCCGGCUAACUUCGUGCCAGCAGCCGCGGUAAUACGAAGGGGGCUAGCGUUGCUCGGAAUUACUGGGCGUAAAGGGCGCGUAGGCGGACAGCUUAGUCAGAGGUGAAAGCCCAGGGCUCAACCUUGGAAUUGCCUUUGAUACUGGCUGUCUUGAGUUUGGGAGAGGUGAGUGGAACUCCGAGUGUAGAGGUGAAAUUCGUAGAUAUUCGGAAGAACACCAGUGGCGAAGGCGACUCACUGGCCCGUUACUGACGCUGAGGCGCGAAAGCGUGGGGCGCAAACAGGAUUAGAAACCCUAGUAGUCC
rnacentral:rRNA from 1 species